GAUGAACGCUAGCGGCAGGCUUAACACAUGCAAGUCGAGGGGCAGCGUGGAGCAGCAAUGCUCUGACGGCGACCGGCGGAAGGGUGCGUAACACGUGAGCGACUUGCCCGUCACAGGGGGAUAACCGGCGGAAACGGCGACUAAUACCCCAUACGAUGUGAUGCUGCAUGGCAUUGCAUUGAAAGAUUCAUCGGUGGCGGAUAGGCUCGCGGGACAUUAGCUAGACGGCGGGGCAACGGCCCACCGUGGCGACGAUGUCUAGGGGUUCUGAGAGGAAGGCCCCCCACACUGGGACUGAGACACGGCCCAGACUCCUACGGGAGGCAGCAGUGAGGAAUAUUGGUUAAUGGGCGAGAGCCUGAACCAGCCAAGUAGCGUGAAGGAUGAAGGUCCUACGGAUUGGUAAAACUUCUUUUAUACGGGAAUAAAGUUUCCUACGUGUAGGAUUUUGUAUGUACCGUAUGAAUAAGCAUCGGCUAACUCCGUGCCAG
rnacentral:rRNA from 1 species